AGAGUUUGAUCAUGGCUCAGGACGAACGCUGGCGGCGCGCCUAAUGCAUGCAAGUCGAGCGACGCAUAUUCGGUGGGUAACCACUGGGUAUGACGGAGCGGCGAACGGGUGAGUAACACGUGAGUAACCUGCCCCGAAGAUCGGGAUAGCCCGGGGAAACCCGGAUUAAUACCGAAUAUCCUCUCUGGAUCGCAUGGUCCGGUGAGGAAAUGCCUUUGUGCUUCGGGAUGGACUCGCGGCCUAUCAGCUAGUUGGUGAGGUAACGGCUCACCAAGGCAUCGACGGGUAGCUGGUCUGAGAGGACGAUCAGCCACACUGGGACUGAGACACGGCCCAGACUCCUACGGGAGGCAGCAGCAGGGAAUCUUGUCCAAUGGGCGAAAGCCUGAGACAGCGACGCCGCGUGAGGGAUGAAGGCCUUCGGGUUGUAAACCUCUUUCAGGAGGGACGAAAUUGACGGUACCUCCAGAAGAAGCCCCGGCCAACUACGUGCCAGCAGCCGCGGUAAUGCGUAGGGGGCAAGCGUUGUCCGGAUUUAUUGGGCGUAAAGGGCUCGUAGGCGGCUCAACAAGUCGAUCGUGAAAACCCAGGGCUCAACCCUGGGACGCCGGUCGAUACUGUUGUGGCUUGGGUCCGGUAGAGGAGAAUGGAAUUCCCGGUGUAGCGGUGAAAUGCGCAGAUAUCGGGAGGAACACCAGUAGCGAAGGC
rnacentral:rRNA from 1 species